GGUUAGAUAACAUAAAUGGUAAUGUAAAGGACUGCAAAUCCUCUAAUGAUGGUUCAAUUCCAUCUCUAACCU
rnacentral:tRNA from 1 species